GCGAGAAUGCGUCCCCGCCCCCGCCCGGUCUUCCGCGAGGACCCUGCCCGUCCGCGCUCUGUCACCUCAUAGUAGUCGUUGCCGGUGGCGGGUGCGGGGGCGCGAGCAGCGCUGGGCGGCCUCUCCCCCGCCCCUCAGGCCGGGCCCGGGCUCGGUCUCCCCCCCUCCCUCCGCUCCCCGCCCCCGUCGGGUACGGGAAGGUCCUAGCCGCUGCCGGGUGCCUGAGGGACUUCGUGGCCGCAGCCGCCACGGGUCCCGAUGGAGCCGCCGAAUCUCUAUCCGGUGAAGCUCUACGUGUACGACCUGUCCAAGGGCCUGGCCCGACGGCUCAGCCCCAUCAUGCUGGGGAAACAACUGGAAGGCAUCUGGCACACCUCCAUAGUUGUACACAAGGAUGAGUUCUUCUUCGGCAGUGGUGGUAUCUCCAGCUGUCCACCGGGAGGGACAUUGCUUGGGCCCCCAGACUCUGUGGUUGAUGUGGGGAGCACAGAAGUCACAGAAGAAAUCUUUCUGGAGUACCUAUCCUCCCUGGGGGAGUCUCUGUUCCGAGGUGAGGCCUACAACCUCUUCGAACACAACUGUAAUACCUUCAGCAAUGAAGUGGCACAGUUCCUGACCGGGCGGAAGAUCCCUUCGUACAUCACUGACCUUCCCUCUGAAGUUCUGUCCACCUCAUGGCAGUGCCAGAUCCUUCGAAACCAGGGAUCCAACCCGCAUCCUCAUGGAUCCUAGUCGGGUUUGUAACCCACUGAGCCAUGACGGGAACUACUGUACCUGAAUAUUCCCUGUGCCCCGGAGAAGACCUCAGUUCCCUGAGGAGUCCAAUUGUGUGCUGUCUUCACUGCUGACUUCUUUUUCAUAUCCUUUUUCUUCUUACCUCGGCUUCCUAAUUUAAACUUUAUCUUCUUGUACCAUGAGAAUUAAAGAUUCAAGCAUGGAAAGUACAGAAAGCUCUGGUUCCCGGUAUGUACCCAACCUGUUCAAACCACAGCUAACCGGGACCUAGAGGGGAAGGUAGCAGGACGGUAGCAUUUACUGAGGAGAGAACGCUAGGAGUGAACACAGAGCAGACUAACGCAGAGAUCCCUCUGAGAAAAAGGCUGUGUGAGUCAGGCCCUUCGGACAGGCCCUGCGGCCCCUCCUGGACUCCAUCCAGAUCCAGCCUCCCGGAGGGAGCACAGUGGGCCGACCCAACGGCCAGAGCUAACAGGACUCCAUGGGACCGCCCUGCCUCACCGGGGCUUUUCCUUUUUAAACAAAACAAACCCUACCAGAUUUCUAUUUUAUAAUUUUACAUCAGAGCUAACAACCAGGGGACGGCUUUUUAAAUUUCCCAGGGAAGGAGCUCAUCAGGCUGCACAUAGGACAAUGCUGCUAAGAAACAGAACAAAAUGCCAUCCCUUCUAAUAGUAUUAUACUAAUUUAUUAAGGCUGUCUUGUUUGUGAGUUCACUUUUGACGCUGCUUCCUGAGCGUCCUCCACACUGGAGAAAGGGAGGGGAUUUGUUUAAGCAGAAAGCAAGCGGCACAGUGUGGGGAACCCCAACCUAGGACCUCUUUCCGGAGAAUGCCCACGCUCUACCCAGGUUGCCACCACCUGUGGGAGCCAGGUGGGUUUUACGUUUUCCAUGACCUGGAAGUGGUUACUCUCUAGCAUUAAAUGAACCAAAGGAUAUGGUGCACGUGGGACCACUUUCAAGAUGACUCAGCCAACCUAAAGGAACUCUUUAGCCACAGUCUCUCCCACCUUUCCUCUCCUCCCUCAGUCAAGGCCACGGGGCCCGGGCUGGAGCAACCCAAAGCCUCAGGAUCGAGGGAGAGCAACAGCAAGUGUCAGGCCAGAAGAAACAGGAUAAAGCCAUUCUUCCUUCCACCUAGACUGUGUACCAAUCCUCUGACGUGGAUUUUGGAGACCUGCCUAGCUGUCUGCUGACUGUUCUUCCCCAGCAUAGCUGCCCUGUCACAGCUAGUGAGGGUCGGGAGCAGCAGCAACCCAGCCCUGUUGUCUGCGAGUGGUCCUGCAGGUUAUUGCAGUCACUGUGCCCCCCCAGCCAGAGCAGUGUGCCGUGCGCAGCUCGGGGCCAAGGGGCAACGUCCCCGACGCAGAAAGAAUAGGAAGGCCGAAUCCAGGUGGCAGGGAAAUUUAGGGUUGUUUCUGGUAGGGAUUUUUACGAGAUCCUAAGUGUGUUUCAAAGGCACGUGUUAUUUCCGGUGUCAUUCUGACUGUAAGGAAGCGAGGUUGAGGGUGUAAGUGGGCAUUUUCCUAAAGAGCUGCUGCUAGGAGCUUAUAGGCAGGAAACAGUCUGGAAGCUUCUCACCUGGAGAGGCUCUCAGAGUCUUUCUUCAAGUGAGCCUCCUUUAAGUUGAGAAAGUGAAUGUGGAGGAGGGGCUCAGAUCUUCUCAGUACCUGAGUCCAGCCUUGGCACUUGGGCCCCUCCUGCCACGGCUCCUGCCACUUCUCAGACUUGAAUUAUGUUCUCUUUCCUGGGGUCUGGCCUGCAGCAGGUGCCUUUCCUCUCCAAAAAGCUGUUGCUCACGUCUGGCCUCAUCUCCUCCCAUCUCUGCUGUUAGCCAUGGCAGUUGGCAUCACCAGGGUCUUAGCUAGAGAUGUUAUUCUGCAUUAGUGUUUGCCUGUCACCUGACUGGGCACAUGUGUGAUGACUAGCUGUGAUGGCAAGGGACACUUUGGAACUUUCACGGUUGGAAGACAAACCAUUAAGCACUUUAAUUUUUCUGAAGACCCACUGACUUGCCAGUGUGCAUGGUAAUGAGACAUUAGAGUAGAAACUAGCACCGGCUCUUAUUUAAUGUUGACCCUCUGGCAGAAUUGGGCCACGGCGAGUGGGUUUCGGGCGGGCUUCCUCCUGGGAGGGCAGCGCGUUGGUCGAGGACGUUGCUCUGCUUCCCAGCUGGGUUUCUGCCCUUUUCCAGCUUGCCUCGCCCAGCCCUCGCUCUCUUCCAGGCCCCUGCUCCAGACCUCUCUGCCCAGGGCACUCAGCUCUAGCCAGAGGGUGAUGGGCAUCAAGGCUCCUUCUUUCCCCUCCCCCAUAUCCAGGCUCAGCUGAUUUCUUUCCCUCCCCCAGUGCUCACCUCCAGACCCAGGGCUGUACCAAGAAGUUAGCCCACGUGGCUCCCCUGAGAGACUUUGAGUCACUUGCUCAUUGAAAGCCACCCUUCAUGCCCAACAGCUAUUUGUGCCAAUGCCUGUGCCUUAGGGUUUGUGGGGAGAGAAGGAGAGGUCAGUAAGCCGUCUUCUCAGAGCUUUGCAGGAAGGCGAGCUCUCCCUCCCCCACCCAAGGCCCAAGGUCACUAACUGGAACCCCGGGCCCGGCGAGGACCCCACCCCCACCCCAUCCUCACAUUUCUCUGUCUACCCCAGAACCUCAGGAGCCUGCUCAUCGUACGAGCUGGCUCCGCACGGGUGUGCGCAGGCGAGCAGGGUGAGAGCAAGCUGUGUGUGUGAUUGUAUCGCCUCCAUCGAGGCCCAUUGGUUUAAAGGGACAGGGAAGGAGGAGGAGGGAUGAGACCGUCACCCCCUCCCAGAAAUGAAGUUUGUACCUUUGCGAUCCCUUUUCACCCUUGAAAUCAAACUAAUAAUGGUAUCUAGUAUGGAGGUGUUUGCUGUUUUCCUUUGGUAUUUUUUCUAAUGCAAUAAAUUCACUUCUGCCUGCUU